AUUGACCAUUCCAAAGGUUGGCCUUUCAUAAUCUGAGAUGCUUAUUUUAUUAAGAUCGACCACAUGGCAUUUAUAAUUUUUAUAUAUUUAUUAACUGAAGCCUUGUGACAGGAGUUCCAGCGAUUGGUUUCUAAACAAUUAAGUCCCAUCUUAUCAACCAGCUAUUUAUUAGUAAUCUAUUUUGGUGCAGCGGAUCUAGCCCUAAAGAUGAUAGCAUGACCGUCAGAACUUGGACCAAAAUUAUACAGCAAAUAUAUGUGGAUAAGUUCAAGUUUUGAAUUCAAAUGUUUCCUUACAACCACUCAAUGGUCAAAAGGC
rnacentral:lncRNA from 1 species